rnacentral:sRNA from 1 species
ACUAGGAUGGGUGACCUCCCGG